AGAACGAACGCUGGCGGCAUGCCUAAUACAUGCAAGUCGAACGAACACUUCGGUGUUAGUGGCGCACGGGUGCGUAACGCGUGGGAAUCUGCCCUUGGGUUCGGAAUAACAGUUGGAAACGACUGCUAAUACCGGAUGAUAUCGAAAGAUCAAAGAUUUAUCGCCCAGGGAUGACGCCCGCGUAGGAUUAGCUAGUGGUGAGGUAAAGCUCACCAAGGCGACGAUCCUUAGCUGGUCUGAGAGGAUGAUCAGCCACACUGGACUGAGGACACGGCCAGACUCCGUACGGGAGCAGCGAGUAGGAUAUGGACAAGUGGGCGACAAGCCUGACUCCACG
rnacentral:rRNA from 1 species